rnacentral:lncRNA from 1 species
AAAACGAAAACGAAAACGAAGACGAAGACGAAGUUGAAGUCUUUCUCUCUUAUUUGUUCCACUACUUUAGAGGUAAUCGAUGAUCUCGUCCUUUUUCUCUCUCAAUCUCAUCAGUUAAUUAGCUAGAAAGGAAUAUAUGGUUUGAUCUAUAUCCACCAUUUCUUUUUCUCUUCAAGUAGCUACCUAGCUAGCUAGAUCUGAUUAAUCAAUCUAGCUGCUUUAAUUUCCAGAUCAAUUAUGAGAUUUCUAAGACUCUUCAACUCCACUUGCUUCUAGCUCUUGUUUCAUUCACUAACAAAACUGUAGAUAGAUAGAUCUUGCGCGUGCUCAUCAUAUAAGGGAUGUGUGUCUGAAGUUUCUUUCCUUUGUGUGUUUUCAUAUCAGUAUGGGAGUGAACAAGAUAUGUUUGAUAAUGGGUCUGUGAAGUUUUUGAUCUUGGGAUUUGGAGGUUUGAGUUCUGGGGAUCUUCUUUAUGUGCGUUUGAAGUUGUUCCUUUUCAAAUCUUAUUUUUUUCUAUAUGGAAUCAUAUCAGAUUGAUAUAGAAUUAUGGGGUCCUGAGCUUAGAUUUUGAGGUUGGGAUCUCCUUUGAUUUCAGUAUUGGUGAUGAUGGAGUUUGUG